UACGGGGGGGGCAAGCGUUGUUCGGAAUUACUGGGCGUAAAGGGCUCGUAGGCGGCCAACUAAGUCCGACGUGAAAUCCCCAGGCUUAACCUAGGAACUGCGUCUGAUACUGGAUGGCUUGAAUCCGGGAGAGGGAUGCAGAAUUCCAGGUGUAGCGGUGAAAUGCGUAGAUAUCUGGAGGAAUACCGGUGGCGAAGGCGGCAUCCUGGACCGGCAUUGACGCUGAGGAGCGAAAGCUAGGGGAGCAAACGGG
rnacentral:rRNA from 1 species